GAGUUUGAUCCUGGCUCAGAACGAACGCUGGCGGCAGGCUUAACACAUGCAAGUCGAACGAUGUAGCAAUACAUAGUGGCGCACGGGUGAGUAACGCGUGGGAAUAUGCCCUUUAGUUCAGAAUAACUACUGGAAACGGUAGCUAAUACUGGAUACGCCCUUCGGGGGAAAGAUUUAUCGCUAAAGGAUUAGCCCGCGUUAGAUUAGGUAGUUGGUGGGGUAAUGGCCUACCAAGCCUACGAUCUAUAGCUGGUCUGAGAGGAUGAUCAGCCACACUGGAACUGAGACACGGUCCAGACUCCUACGGGAGGCAGCAGUGGGGAAUAUUGGACAAUGGGCGAAAGCCUGAUCCAGCCAUGCCGCGUGAGUGANGAAGGCCUUAGGGUUGUAAAGCUCUUU
rnacentral:rRNA from 1 species